GUGCUCGCUUUGGCAGCACAUAUCCUAAAAUUGGAACGAUACAGAGAAGAUUAGCAUGGCCCCUACAUAAGGAUGACAUACAAUUCAUGAAGCGUUCCAUAUUUAA
ensembl:snRNA U6 U6 spliceosomal RNA